AUUGAACGCUGGCGGCAGGCCUAACACAUGCAAGUCGAACGAGUGGCGGACGGGUGAGUAAUGUCUGGGAAACUGCCUGAUGGAGGGGGAUAACUACUGGAAACGGUAGCUAAUACCGCAUACCAUCGGAUUAGCCCAGAUGGGAUUAGCUAGUAGGUGGGGUAAAGGCUCACCCAGGCGACGAUCCCUAGCUGGUCUGAGAGGAUGAACGGCCACACUGGAACGGAGACACGGGCCAGACUCCUACGGGAGGCAGCAGUGGUGAAUAUUGCACAAUGGGCGCAAGCCUGAUGCAGCCAAGCCGCGUGUAUGAAGAAGGCCUUCGGGUUGUAAAGUACUUUCAGCGGGGAGGCGUUACCCGCAGAAGAAGCACCGGCUAACUCCGUGCCAGCAGCCGCGGUAAUUC
rnacentral:rRNA from 1 species